rnacentral:rRNA from 1 species
UACGUAGGGGGCAAGCGUUGUCCGGAAUCAUUGGGCGUAAAGCGCGUGUAGGCGGCCCGAUAAGUCCGCUGUGAAAGUCCAGGGCUCAACCCUGGAAUGCCGGUGGAUACUGUCGGGCUCGAGUCCGGAAGAGGCGAGUGGAAUUCCUGGUGUAGCGGUGAAAUGCGUAGAUAUCGGGAGGAACACCAGUGGCGAAGGCGGCUUCCUGGCCUGUUCUUGACGCUGAGGCGCGAAAGCUAGGGUAGCAAACGGG